rnacentral:rRNA from 1 species
CCAACAGGGAUUGCCUCAGUAACGGCGAGUGAAGCGGCAACAGCUCAAAUUUGAAAUCUGGCCCCAGGCCCGAGUUGUAAUUUGCAGAGGAUGCUUCUGGCAAGGUGCCUUCCAAGUCCCCUGGAACGGGGCGCCGAAGAGGGUGAGAGCCCCGUCCGGUCGGCCGCCAAGCCUGUGUGAAGCUCCUUCGACGAGUCGAGUAGUUUGGGAAUGCUGCUCUAAACGGGAGGUAGACCCCUUCUAAAGCUAAAUACCGGCCAGAGACCGAUAGCGCACAAGUAGAGUGAUCGAAAGAUGAAAAGCACUUUGAAAAGAGGGUUAAAAAGUACGUGAAAUUGUUGAAAGGGAAGCGCUUGUGACCAGACGUGUGCCGGGGUGCUCAGCGGGCGUUCUCGCCCGUGCACUCGCCCCGGUACAGGCCAGCGUCGGUUCGCGCGGGGGGACAAAGGCGCCGGGAACGUAGCUCCUCCGGGAGUGUUAUAGCCCGGCGUGCCAUGCCCCCGCGCGGACCGAGGUUCGCGCUCCGCAAGGACGCUGGCGUAAUGGUCUCCAGCGGCCCGUCUUGAAACACGGACCAAGGAGUCGAGGUUUUGCGCGAGUGUUUGGGUGUCAAACCCGCACGCGUAAUGAAAGUGAACGCAGGUGGGAGCUUCGGCGCACCACCGACCGAUCCUGAUGUUCUCGGAUGGAUUUGAGUAGGAGCGUAGGGCCUCGGACCCGAAAGAUGGUGAACUAUACGUGGAUAGGGUGAAGCCAGAGGAAACUCUGGUGGAGGCUCGCAGCGGUUCUGACGUGCAAAUCGAUCGUCAAAUCUGCGUAUGGGGGCGAAAGACUAAUCGAACCAU